ACAUGGCGCGCUAUAUCGCGACGCCCCCCCUAGGCGUGGCAGUGGCGGUCGGGCUGAUCUUUACCCUGGCAGGGCGCCUGGCGCUGAGGCGGGGCUGGUGCGCAGGCCGUGGUUGCCAGUGAUGGAUCUCGGCGUUUCCAGGGAGGAGCUCCUUUUGUUCCAGGCCCUCCCUGGUGCCCGCAGGGGCCACCAACCACGCCAGUCCCCGGGGACAUUGGCACGGCUCCCGUGACACCAGGAAAAGGCACUUCUAAGGGUCAGCUCGAACUGGAACUUGUCGGUGUUGGCGGGGGACGCGCCGGGUGCCUCGGGCGGAGGGGACGGGCUGCGCCGGAUCAUGCUCUGGACCACCCCCACACUGUGCCAGGAACCCUUGGCCAUGCCCGGCUGUGGUUGGGAGCCACCAGGCAGGACGUACCCACAGCCCAGAGCAAUGCCCAACAUCCGCAGUGCCAGGAAGGAUUCCCAGCCGUGUCCCCCUGCCCACCUGGAUCCGGUCGGAGUAGUUGUCCAGCAGCAGCACCCCCAGACUGGUCACCUUCUUGGUCUCCACCAUGGUCUUCAGAUCCGCCAGCAGGUUCAUGUGCUUGGACAUGUCCGUGGCCAACACCUGGGCAGGGCAAGCCGGGAACGGGGCUCAGCCUGACACUCCCCCCAGCCCAGACCCCCACCCUGGGGUGGUCCAGCCCCCCCGUACCAUGUCGAUGACCAUUUUUCGGAGCGUCUGCCUCUGCUUCCUGCUCAGGUUCUGGAAGAUGUCACAGUUCUCCUCCUGGAGGAGCUUGAAGCCCACGGCCAGGUGGUGGUUCUCCAGCACCGAGGCGUCGUUGUACAUCAGCGCCAGCUCCGAGUCUGUGAGAGGGCACCGGUCACCCUGGGGAGACCCCAGGUGGGGUCCUCCACACCCCCCCAGCUCCAUCCCUGCUCCCCAGCUCACUGGUGUUGAUGAGGAACUGGUUGGAGACGCCGGGGUGGUCGACGUCGUGGAUGGCGCUGGCGAAGAUGGCAGCCAUGAUCUCCAGGUCCGUGAAGACAGCCUGGGAAUGGUGGGAGAAGGAGUUGCGGGCGUGUUACAACCCUGCCAGACACACCUGGUGGCCUGAGGAGACCAAUAAUCACCUCCAGGGCAGGCGUGGAGAGGAGGACGUGGGUGGACUGCGCCACGUCGGCGGCGUGGAGGUUGUUGUGAUAGGCCACGUCGGCGUGGUAAUGGUCCUCCAGCGUCAGCAUGUAGGUGAUGAAGGUGUUGACGGGGAUGCGGAAGGUCUUCAUCAGGUCACGCUCCUGCAGGGAGGCGGGAGGUGACUCGUCCCCAUCCGGGCACGGGGACAGGGCCAUCCCACCGGGAUGCUCACCUGGAAGAUGCUGUACAUGAUGACGGUCAGCGGGCGGUUCCCCGAGUACUCGGCGACUUUAAACACGUUGAGCCCCCA